AGUGAACGCUGGCGGUAGGCCUAACACAUGCAAGUCGAACGGCAGCACAGUAAGAGCUUGCUCUUACGGGUGGCGAGUGGCGGACGGGUGAGGAAUACAUCGGAAUCUACUUUUUCGUGGGGGAUAACGUAGGGAAACUUACGCUAAUACCGCAUACGACCUACGGGUGAAAGCAGGGGAUCUUCGGACCUUGCGCGAUUGAAUGAGCCGAUGUCGGAUUAGCUAGUUGGCGGGGUAAAGGCCCACCAAGGCGACGAUCCGUAGCUGGUCUGAGAGGAUGAUCAGCCACACUGGAACUGAGGCACGGUCCAGACUCCUACGGGAGGCAGCAGUGGGGAAUAUUGGACAAUGGGCGCAAGCCUGGUCCAGCCAUACCGCGUGGGUGAAGAAGGCCUUCGGGUUGUAAAGCCCUUUUGUUGGGAAAGAAAAGCAGCAGGUUAAUACCCCGCUGUUCUGACGGUACCCAAAGAAUAAGCACCGGCUAACUUCGUG
rnacentral:rRNA from 1 species